GUUAUUGUAGUUGAAUACAACGGUGGUUUUUCAGAUCAUAGGUCUUGGUUCAAAUCCGGGUAAUAAUU
rnacentral:tRNA from 1 species